rnacentral:miRNA from 1 species
UCUGCCAUAGGAAGCUUGGAGUGG